CAGCCCUAAACGAUGCGCGUUAGGUGUAUCGGUGACCACGAGUCACCGAGGUGCCGAAGGGAAACCGUGAAACGUGCCGCCUGGGAAGUACGGUCGCAAGGCUGAAACUUAAAGGAAUUGGCGGGGGAGCACCGACAACGGGUGGAGCCUGCGGUUUAAUUGGACUCAACGCCGGGAAGCUCACCGGAUAAGACAGCGGAAUGAUUGCCGGGCUGAAGACCCUGCAUGACCAGCUGAGAGGAGGUGCAUGGCGUAAUCGUGU
rnacentral:rRNA from 1 species